CCUACGGGAGGCAGCAGUGGGGAAUCUUGCGCAAUGGGCGAAAGCCUGACGCAGCCAUGCCGCGUGAAUGAUGAAGGUCUUAGGAUUGUAAAAUUCUUUCACCGGGGACGAUAAUGACGGUACCCGGAGAAGAAGCCCCGGCUAACUUCGUGCCAGCAGCCGCGGUAAUACGAAGGGGGCUAGCGUUGCUCGGAAUUACUGGGCGUAAAGGGAGCGUAGGCGGAUAGUUUAGUCAGAGGUGAAAGCCCAGGGCUCAACCUUGGAAUUGCCUUUGAUACUGGCUAUCUUGAGUACGGAAGAGGUAUGUGGAACUCCGAGUGUAGAGGUGAAAUUCGUAGAUAUUCGGAAGAACACCAGUGGCGAAGGCGACAUACUGGUCCGUUACUGACGCUGAGGCUCGAAAGCGUGGGGAGCAAACAGGAUUAGAUACCCUGGUAGUCCACGCUGUAAACGAUGAGUGCUAGUUGUCGGCAUGCAUGCAUGUCGGUGACGCGAGCUACGCAUAAGUACACUCCGCCGUCGGGAGGUACGGUCGCGAGAUUAAACUACAAGAAGUUAGACGGCGUGAGACGUGCCGACGGACGACGACGAGGGAGUAGG
rnacentral:rRNA from 1 species